CAGCAGCCGCGAGAAUACAGAGGGUGCGAGCGUUAAUCGGAUUUACUGGGCGUAAAGCGUGCGUAGGCGGCUUCUUAAGUCGGAUGUGAAAUCCCUGAGCUUAACUUAGGAAUUGCAUUCGAUACUGGGAAGCUAGAGUAUGGGAGAGGAUGGUAGAAUUCCAGGUGUAGCGGUGAAAUGCGUAGAGAUCUGGAGGAAUACCGAUGGCGAAGGCAGCCAUCUGGCCUAAUACUGACGCUGAGGUACGAAAGCAUGGGGAGCAAACAGGAUUAGAUACCCCCGUAGUCCCUGUCUCUUAUAC
rnacentral:rRNA from 1 species